GAUGAACGCUGGCGGCGUGCCUAAUACAUGCAAGUCGAGCGAACAGACGAGGAGCUUGCUCCUCUGACGUUAGCGGCGGACGGGUGAGUAACACGUGGAUAACCUACCUAUAAGACUGGGAUAACUUCGGGAAACCGGAGCUAAUACCGGAUAAUAUAUUGAACCGCAUGGUUCAAUAGUGAAAGACGGUUUUGCUGUCACUUAUAGAUGGAUCCGCGCCGCAUUAGCUAGUUGGUAAGGUAACGGCUUACCAAGGCGACGAUGCGUAGCCGACCUGAGAGGGUGAUCGGCCACACUAGAACUGAGACAAGGUACAGACUCCUACGGGAGGCAGCAGUAGGGAAUCUUCCGCAAUGGGCGAAAGCCUGACGGAGCAACGCCGCGUGAGUGAUGAAGGUCUUCGGAUCGUAAAACUCUGUUAUUAGGGAAGAACAAAUGUGUAAGUAACUAUGCACGUCUUGACGGUACCUAAUCAGAAAGCCACGGCUAACUACGUG
rnacentral:rRNA from 1 species